UAGGGAAUCUUCCACAAUGGACGCAAGUCUGAUGGAGCAACGCCGCGUGAGUGAAGAAGGUUUUCGGACCGUAAAGCUCUGUUGUUGGUGAAGAAGGAUAGAGGUAGUAACUGGCCUUUAUUUGACGGUAAUCAACCAGAAAGUCACGGCUAACUACGUGCCAGCAGCCGCGGUAAUACGUAGGUGGCAAGCGUUGUCCGGAUUUAUUGGGCGUAAAGCGAGCGCAGGCGGAAGAAUAAGUCUGAUGUGAAAGCCCUCGGCUUAACCGAGGAAUUGCAUCGGAAACUGUUUUCUUGAGUGCAGAAGAGGAGAGUAGAACUCCAUGUGUAGCGGUGGAAUGCGUAGAUAUAUGGAAGAAUACCAGUGGCGAAGGCGGCUCUCUGGUCUGCAACUGACGCUGAGGCUCGAAAGCAUGGGUAGCGAACAGGAUUAGAUACCC
rnacentral:rRNA from 1 species